GAUGAACGCUGGCGGCGUGCCUAAUACAUGCAAGUCGAGCGAACGGACGAGGAGCUUGCUUCUCUGAUUUUAUCGGCGGACGGGAGAGUAACACGUGGAUAACCUACCUAUACGACUGGGAUAACUUCGGGAAACCGGAGCUAAUACCGGAUAAUAUUUUGAACCGCAUUGUUCAAACGUUAAAGACGGUCUUGCUGUCGCUUAUAGAUGGAUCCGCGCUGCAUUAGCUAGUUGGUAAGGUAACGGCUUACCAAGGCAACGAGGCAUAGCCGACCUGAGAGGGUGGAUGGCCAGCCUGGAACUGAGACAGGGCCCAGACUCCGAGAGGAAGACGCGGUAGGGAAUCUUACGGGAGGGGGGAAAGGGUAACGGAGCAAAGUCGGGUGAGUGAUGAAGGUCUUCGGAUGGGAAAGCUCUGUUAUUAGGGGAGAACAAAUGUGUAAGUACCUGUGAAGAUAUUGACGGUACCGAAUGAAAAAGCCCCGGCUAACUACGUG
rnacentral:rRNA from 1 species